rnacentral:rRNA from 1 species
ACUCCUGCGGGAGGCAGCAGUGGGGAAUUUUGGACAAUGGGCGAAAGCCUGAUCCAGCAAUGCCGCGUGUGUGAAGAAGGCCUUCGGGUUGUAAAGCACUUUUGUCCGGAAAGAAAUCCUUGGCUCUAAUACAGUCGGGGGAUGACGGUACCGGAAGAAUAAGCACCGGCUAACUACGUGCCAGCAGCCGCGGUAAUACGUAGGGUGCGAGCGUUAAUCGGAAUUACUGGGCGUAAAGCGUGCGCAGGCGGUUUGCUAAGACCGAUGUGAAAUCCCCGGGCUCAACCUGGGAACUGCAUUGGUGACUGGCAGGCUAGAGUAUGGCAGAGGGGGGUAGAAUUCCACGUGUAGCAGUGAAAUGCGUAGAGAUGUGGAGGAAUACCGAUGGCGAAGGCAGCCCCCUGGGCCAAUACUGACGCUCAUGCACGAAAGCGUGGGGAGCAAACAGGAUUAGAUACCCGUGUAGUCCCAUGAU